rnacentral:rRNA from 1 species
UACGUAGGGGGCUAGCGUUGUCCGGAAUCAUUGGGCGUAAAGCGCGUGUAGGCGGCCCGGUAAGUCCGCUGUGAAAGUCGGGGGGCUCAACCCUCGAAUGCCGGUGGAUACUGUCGGGCUCGAGUACGGGAGAGGCGAGUGGAAUUCCUGGUGUAGCGGUGAAAUGCGCAGAUAUCAGGAGGAACACCGAUUGCGAAGGCAGCUCGCUGGAACGUUACUGACGCUGAGACGCGAAAGCGUGGGGAGCAAACAGG